GAUGAACGCUGGCGGCGUGCUUAACACAUGCAAGUCGAACGGUGAAGCAGGAGCUUGCUCCUGUGGAUCAGUGGCGAACGGGUGAGUAACACGUGAGCAAUCUGCCCUGGACUCUGGAAUAAGCAUUGGAAACGACGUCUAAUACCGGAUACGAGGCGUGGGGGCAUCCCCAAGGCCUGGAAAGAACUUCGGUCCAGGAUGGGCUCGCGGCCUAACAGGUAGUUGGUGAGGUAACGGCUCACCAAGCCUACGACGGGUAGCCGGCCUGAGAGGAUGACCAGCCACAUUGGGACUGAGACACGGCCCAAACUCCUACGGGAGGCAGCAGUGGGGAAUAUUGGACAAUGGGCGCAAGCCUGAUCUAGCCAUGCCGCGUGAGUGAUGAAGGCCCUAGGGUUGUAAAGCUCUUUCAGUAGGGAAGAUAAUGACGGUACCUACAGAAGAAGCCCCGGCUAACUUCGUGCCAGCCGCCGCGGUAAGAC
rnacentral:rRNA from 1 species